AGGACGAACGCUGGCGGCGUGCUUAACACAUGCAAGUCGAACGGAAAGGCCCGCUUGCGGGUACUCGAGUGGCGAACGGGUGAGUAACACGUGGGCAACCUGCCCUCAGCUCUGGGAUAACUCCGGGAAACCGGUGCUAAUACUGGAUACCGACUUCUGCCUCGCAUGGGGUGUUGUUGAAAGUUUUUCGGCUGGGGAUGGGCCCGCGGCCUAUCAGCUUGUUGGUGGGUGAUGGCCUACCAAGGCGACGACGGGUA
rnacentral:rRNA from 1 species